UGAAAAGAAUGUUUUUGAUUGCACAAAAUAUUACUAUGGAUUGAGGAAAAACCAUCCAUUCAGUUCAUCUAACAUCUUAACAUAUAAAAAUUUAAAUAUAUAUAUAUAUAAUAUCCAUUAUUGGUAUGACAACCUUUAUAACUGACCAGUAUGUAUAAAAAGUAGUAAAUAAACACCAUAAAACAACUUUGUAUGCAUAGCUAACAAAUGGAAGGCAAACUUCGACUAUUGGAAGAUUCACAAAGUGCUUGGACCUGGUUCUCGAAUUAUUCACCUUUAACUCUGAAUUGGCAGGCAUGGAGACCUGGCAAAUUUAGAUGCAGAAAAACAAAGUGAAUCUAACCAUUUUUUCUAUAACAGGCCUCGAAGAAAGGAACUUUAACGAAGUUCCAAGUAGACUUACUCUCUGCAUAUUAUCUGUCAACAGCUUCAGUGGAUCAUAGCAGCUUAAAAGGAUGCUGCAGUCAAUUCGAAUAACAGCUAAAACAGGAAUUUACCUUCAACUAAACCCAAAAUUCUAUCAAACCAUUAAGGGAACAUCCUCUGUAUUCUGACAUGGCAUGAUGUAUUAGAAGACAGAAGAAAAUCAGAUAUGUUUAUAUCAGCAAAAGAUAUUUAGUAUAAAAUAAUACUAUGCUACUGCAGUCCCCUGAAGCAGAGCCACACAGGAAAUAUCUAUUGUAAUAUAUGCAGGUGACAUACUAUAAAAAAACACAAUGAUUGAAGACAGUUGGAAAGACAAUAGCAACCAAUAACUAAUUAAGAAGAAUAUAGUCAGAACAAAAUUUAGUACUAGUAUUUCAUAAUAUUUAUGAACCCCAAAGCAUCAAUGCCAACAGGUUCCUUGAUUGUGAAAAAAACAACAACCAUCAACACCCCAAGGAAUUGCAAGUGGUAGCAUCCUCUACAUUUUAAAUGGACCAAGGGAAAAGCUAAUAAACUGACCAAAAUUAAACACCAUCCAGGCAUGCACUUGGGUCAAAAGAGGGAGAGUAAUAACCCUUGAGAAAACAAUCUCCACCAAGAUUGAGGCACAAAUUGAAACAACCACAGCACAAAGGCCAUUGCAACUAGGUGUCUUGCCACAAUGGAUUGCUCAAAACUUGAGAUAGUGACUGUAGCAAAAGGAAGACUAGGGUCUAGACAACAAGCUAAGGUUGACCUGUGAGGGCAGUAUACCAGUGGAAACAUGAGCAGCCCAAACUGACGUCAAAUUGCUACUUUCAGCAAAAACUAAACCUGAACCAGUCAGAUGGCAGGGGAUGAAAGUUUGAAAGACAAAAGUGGAGGAUAGCCAUCCAAGAAAGACCUUCAUCUGCAUCUGUCGUGAAGCUAUAAAAUUAAAAGGCAUGUCCUCUAUCUCAAGAACUCUUUUCUAACCCCACCACUGUACGAGCUAGUAAUAAAGUGUCCAAGAUCCUCCCAGCCAGAAUGAAGUGAUCCAGAGGACAUAACCUACAAGACCAAAAAAUCUUACUUCAACACAUUUCUUUUCUUUUUCCUGGUUGAUUCCCUCUUCACAUGUACUCCAACUCCCUCUUUCGCACUCUCGUCACACAUUCCAAAAUCUAAGACUAAGAGUAUAAUAAAUUUACGAUAUUUUUUUUAGAGGGCGGAGACUGUUAAAGUUAUUUCCUAAAAAUUUAGGUUCAAUCUUAUAAUGUGAUUACUCCAGCUAAAAUUUUAUUCAAAAAUUAGAGGCAUAAUUAAAUGUAUAUCUUAUGCACGUUUAUCAUACAUCAUGAAGCAAGAAAUUUUCGAAGAUAAUCUUUAGUUUUUCAGAAAUUGAACAUAUUACACUCUACAAAAACUCUUUGCUCUUCUAAAAAAAAAAAAAAACUCUUUGCUCUUAAUAAACAAUCAAUGACAUUGACAGUAAAUCUAAGCAACCUCAAGAUCUCAUUAAAUCCACUAAUCCUCUACGUUAGCUAUAUAUUAAACUUUACGAAUUUACCAUAAAAUGUUGGCUUGAAAUUCAGCUUCUCAUUAGAAACCCUAAAAAUUUGAAAUUUAAGUUCAUAAUCGAUACGGUUAGCUUCCUCCAGUUUUAUCAGAAACCCCAAAAAAAUAUUGCAUGUAUGGAAGGAGACUGAGAACUUACUUAGAGAGUCGAAGGGUUCAUCGGCGACACGUAAGCACUGGUUGAGUGUAACGGGGCACUUGGAGAAUUCAAAACCCUAACCCUAGAAUUUGGAGGGAAAAGAGGAAUGGGGAAUCCAGAGAGAACGUAGGAGCCAGCGGUUGAGAUCGAGGCAACACCGGAUUGGAUAGAAUCCGGGGAUCGAAAUUGAUUACCUUAUGCAUUAGAUGAAGAAUGCCCGGGCUCUCAAUAAACAAGGAUAUGAUUACGACGUCGUUUCGGAGAUGGAGAGAUAUGCGAAGCUGUGACUGGCCACUUGCCAGGUGGUUCCCCGGACGGACUCUAAGAUUGAUGGAAGAAGGAAAAAGAUUAAAGUGACGACGCAUCCCCACGAGCGAACGGUGCGCUUUGUUUCGAUGUCCAAACUCCAAUGUACAAUUCUAGUAUGGACGACCUUCCAACACCGCCUCAAUGAAAUUC
rnacentral:lncRNA from 1 species